rnacentral:misc_RNA from 2 species
AACGCACCUUGCGCUCCUUGGUAUUCCGAGGAGCAUGCCUGUUUGAGUGUCAUUAAUAUUAUCAACCUCUUCGGCUUUUGCUUGUUGAGUGUUGGAUGUGGGGGGUCUUUUUUGCUGGUCUUCUCAGGUCAGCUCCCCUGAAAUACAUUAGCAGAACAGUUUUGUGGACCGUUCAUUGGUGUGAUAACUAUCUACGCUAUUGACGUGAAGCAGAGUUCAGCUUUCUAACAGUCCAUUGACUUGGACAAAUCUUCAUUAAUGUGACCUCAAAUCAGGUAGGAUUACCCGCUGAACUUAA